rnacentral:rRNA from 1 species
CCUACGGGAGGCAGCAGUGGGGAAUUUUGGACAAUGGGGGCAACCCUGAUCCAGCCAUUCCGCGUGAGUGAAGAAGGCCUUCGGGUUGUAAAGCUCUUUCGCAAGGGAAGAAAACUUAUGAUCGAAUAAAUCAUGAGGUUGACGGUACCUUGAUAAGAAGCACCGGCUAACUACGUGCCAGCAGCCGCGGUAAUACGUAGGGUGCGAGCGUUAAUCGGAAUUACUGGGCGUAAAGCGUGCGCAGGCGGUUUUGUAAGUCGGAUGUGAAAUCCCCGGGCUCAACCUGGGAACUGCGUUCGAAACUGCAAGGCUAGAGUGUGUCAGAGGGGGGUAGAAUUCCACGUGUAGCAGUGAAAUGCGUAGAGAUGUGGAGGAAUACCAAUGGCGAAGGCAGCCCCCUGGGAUAACGACUGACGCUCAUGCACGAAAGCGUGGGGAGCAAACAGGAUUAGAUACCCUGGUAGUCCACGCCCUAAACGAUGUCAACUAGUUGUUGGUAGAGUAAAAUCUAUGAGUAACGUAGCUAACGCGUGAAGUUGACCGCCUGGGGAGUACGGUCGCAAGAUUAAAACGUCAAAAGAGUAGUAGGACGNGAGAGUGCGACGAGACACGAGGAGGAG